GAUGAACGCUGGCGGCGUGCCUAAUACAUGCAAGUCGAGCGAACAGACGAGGAGCUUGCUCCUCUGACGUUAGCGGCGGACGGGUGAGUAACACGUGGAUAACCUACCUAUAAGACUGGGAUAACUUCGGGAAACCGGAGCUAAUACCGGAUAAUAUAUUGAACCGCAUGGUUCAAUAGUUAAAGACGGUUUUGCUGUCACUUAUAGAUGGAUCCGCGCCGCAUUAGCUAGUUGGUAAGGUAACGGCUUACCAAGGCAACGAUGCGUAGCCGACCUGAGAGGGUGAUCGGCCACACGGGAACUGAGACACGGUACAGACUACUACGGGAGGCAGCAGUAGGGAAUAUUCCGCAAUGGGCGAAAGCAUGACGGAGCAACGCCGAGUGAGAGAUGAAGGUCUUCGGAUCGUAAAACUCUGUUAGUAGGGAAGAAAAAAUGUGUAAGUAACUAUGCACGUAUUGACGGUACCUAAACAGAAAGCAACGGCUAACUACGUG
rnacentral:rRNA from 1 species